GUAACACGUGGGUAACCUACCUUAAAGUGGGGGCUAUCAAUUGGAAACAGGUGCUAAUACCGCAUAACCAUCAAAACCGCCUGGUUUUGAUGUUAAAGAUGGUUCUGCUAUCCCUUUAAGAUGGACCCGCGGCGUAUUGGCUAGUUGGUGAGGUAACGGCUUACCAAGGCAAUGAUACGUAGCCGAACUGAGAGGUUGAUCGGCCACAUUGGGACUGAGACACGGCCCAAACUCCUACGGGAGGCAGCAGUAGGGAAUCUUCCACAAUGGACGAAAGUCUGAUGGAGCAACGCCGCGUGAGUGAAGAAGGUUUUCGGAUCGUAAAACUCUGUUGUCAGAGAAGAACGUGUGUGAGAGUAACUGUUCACGCAGUGACGGUAUCUGACCAGAAAGUCACGGCUAACUACGUGCCAGCAGCCGCGGUAAUACGUAGGUGACAAGCGUUGUCCGGAUUUAUUGGGCGUAAAGGGAACGCAGGCGGUCUUUUAAGUCUGAUGUGAAAGCCUUCGGCUUAACCGAAGUCGGGCAUUGGAAACUGGGAGACUUGAGUGCAGAAGAGGAGAGUGGAACUCCAUGUGUAGCGGUGAAAUGCGUAGAUAUAUGGAAGAACACCAGUGGCGAAAGCGGCUCUCUGGUCUGUAACUGACGCUGAGGUUCGAAAGCGUGGGUAGCAAACAGGAUUAGAUACCCUGGUAGUCCACGCCGUAAACGAUGAAUGCUAAGUGUUGGAGGGUUUCCGCCCUUC
rnacentral:rRNA from 1 species